AACUCAGACUGCAAUACUGAUCUGAUGCUAAUACACCUGAUGCAUCUGUGACUACAGGGGUUAGUGAUCCCAGCUUUAAUGUGGAAGUCUCCUGAGAGAAGGCCUCUUUGAUACCCACGGCAAUGAUCAAAAUGCAUUGGCUGGCUACCAUUGGACCCCCAUGGCAGAUGCCCCAUGGGACGCUGUCUGCCAGCAAUGUGGCUUUCAGCCUCCAGAGAGAACAUCUUUUGAAAAAGCCAGGAGACCUAAUGAAGUCACAGAGAGGCACAAUUAUAUCCCAAAGAAGGAGCAUUGAUGUACUUGGAAAUUCCCUCUGGAGGAACAUGAUGACAAUUGGUUUGUACAGCUUUGAUCACUGCUUUAAAUACUGCCCAAGAUAAACUACAGGGUUAUCCCCCUUUGCCACUGGUGAGUAGGCAAACCAGAAGUGGCUAUCAAGCUUUAGAGUCACCAAACCCUCAGCCUGUGCAGCUAA